GUUUGAUCCUGGCUCAGGACGAACGCUGGCGGCGUGCCUAAUACAUGCAAGUCGAGCGCAUGACGAGGAGCUUGCUCCUCUGAUUGAGCGGCGGACGGGUGAGUAACACGUGGGCAACCUGCCCUGUAGACGGGGAUAACUUCGGGAAACCGGAGCUAAUACCGGAUAAUCCUCUUCCCCACAUGGGGAAGAGUUGAAAGGCGCUUUCGCGUCACUACAGGAUGGGCCCGCGGUGCAUUAGCUAGUUGGUGGGGUAACGGCCUACCAAGGCGACGAUGCAUAGCCGACCUGAGAGGGUGAUCGGCCACAUUGGGACUGAGACACGGCCCAAACUCCUACGGGAGGCAGCAGUAGGGAAUCUUCCACAAUGGACGGAAGUCUGAUGGAGCAACGCCGCGUGAGUGAUGAAGGUUUUCGGAUCGUAAAACUUCUGUUUGUAAGGGAAGAACCCAGUACGUCAGGCAAUGGACGUACCUUGACGGUACUUAUUAGAAAGCCACGGCUAACUACGUGCCAGCAGCCGCGGUAAUACGUAGGUGGCAAGCGUUGUCCGGAAUUAUUGGGCGUAAAGCGCGCGCAGGUGGUUUCUUAAGUCUGAUGUGAAAGCCCACGGCUUAACCGUGGAGGGUCAUUGGAAACUGGGAGACUUGAGUGCAGAAGAGGAAAGUGGAAUUCCAAGUGUAGCGGUGAAAUGCGUAGAGAUUUGGAGGAACACCAGUGGCGAAGGCGACUUUCUGGCCUGCAACUGACGCUGAGGCGCGAAAGCAUGGGGAGCAAACAGGAUUAGAUACCCUGGUAGUCCAUGCCGUAAACGAUGAGUGCUAAGUGUUUAGGGGGUUUCCGCCCCUUAGUGCUGCAGCUAACGCAUUAAGCACUCCGCCUGGGGAGCACGACCGCAAGGUUGAAACUCAAAGGAAUUGACGGGGGCCCGCACAAGCGGUGGAGCAUGUGGUUUAAUUCGAAGCAACGCGAAGAACCUUACCAGGUCUUGACAUCCCGAUGACCGCUCUAGAGAUAGAGUUUUCCCUUCGGGGACAUUGGGUGACAGGUGGUGCAUGGUUGUCGUCAGCCUCGUGUCGUGAGAUGGUUGGGUUAAGUCCCGCAACGAGCGCAGCCCUUAAUCUUAGUUGCCAUCAUUUAGUUGGGCACUCUAAGGUGACUGCCGGUGAUAAACCGGAGGAAGGUGGGGAUGACGUCAAAUCAUCAUGCCCCUUAUGACCUGGGCUACACACGUGCUACAAUGGACGGUACAAAGAGUCGCUAACUCGCGAGAGUAUGCUAAUCUCAUAAAACCGUUCUCAGUUCGGAUUGUAGGCUGCAACUCGCCUACGUGAAGCCGGAAUCGCUAGUAAUCGCGGAUCAGCAUGCCGCGGUGAAUACGUUCCCGGGCCUUG
rnacentral:rRNA from 1 species